rnacentral:rRNA from 1 species
UGGGGAAUAUUGGACAAUGGGCGCAAGCCUGAUCCAGCCAUACCGCGUGGGUGAAGAAGGCCUUCGGGUUGUAAAGCCCUUUUGUUGGGAAAGAAAUCCUAUCGAUUAAUACUCGGUGGGGAUGACGGUACCCAAAGAAUAAGCACCGGCUAACUUCGUGCCAGCAGCCGCGGUAAUACGAAGGGUGCAAGCGUUACUCGGAAUUACUGGGCGUAAAGCGUGCGUAGGUGGUGGUUUAAGUCCGUUGUGAAAGCCCUGGGCUCAACCUGGGAAUUGCAGUGGAUACUGGAUCACUAGAGUGUGGUAGAGGGAUGCGGAAUUUCCGGUGUAGCAGUGAAAUGCGUAGAGAUCGGAAGGAACAUCUGUGGCGAAGGCGGCAUCCUGGGCCAACACUGACACUGAGGCACGAAAGCGUGGGGAGCAAACAGG